GUGCGCAGGCGCGGGGCGAGCGGGAGGCUGCCCCGGUGGAGGGGAGGGUGGCCCUCCUCUCCAUCGCUGCAGCCACCUCGCCGGUCCUGCCUGGGCCCGACCACCAUGCUGGACAUCUUCAUUCUUAUGUUCUUCGCCAUCAUCGGCCUGGUGGUCCUCUCCUACAUCAUCUAUCUGCUGUAGGGCCCGGCCGCAGGAGGAAGGAGGAAGGAUGCGGCCGGGCUGCUGGGCAGGACCCUUUGACCUUUCCCCCUCCAUCCACCAGGCCUUUUCUGGGGCCGGAGGAAACCUGCGUUUUGCCAGCGGCCCCUAGGUCAGCAUGGACGUCCAGCCUCCUCAGCACCAGUGGCGACUCCAGGUGCAGAAGUCCAGCAGCAGCUGCUUCUCAUUUCCAGAGGCUUCUGGAGACCACUGAACCGCCCCCCUGCAAGCAAGUGAGCUAGAGCGGGGCAGCGGAGAAGACCCCGGCCGGUCCUCGGGGUGGGCAGCGGGGCCAACACGGGGCCCCGGCAAGAUGGUCAGCAAAAGUCGCGGAGGGAUGGAGACCCGGGUGCUGUCUGGCACCUCGAAGGGACCAGGGGAUGCUGAUGGAAAGGAAGUUUAGUGUGGCCCCUGGACGGGUCUGUUUACAUCGGGGGGCCUUCAGGAAACUACAAGAAACUGGGAAAAUCACUGCUAGAAGAACCCCUGCAACCAUAUAUCAGAAUACAAACCUAUGAAAAAAGUUCCAAAAUCUAGCAAAAGCCAUGUUUACAUCUAUCUAACCUCCCUUGAUCAUCCUGCUGUCAGUAACUGAGGCAGUUUCGACAAAAAGCAGAUGGAACUCAUGCUAUUCAGGUGAAUUUCCAUUCAGUAAAAUCUCUGACAAUUCCAGUCUACAGAUGAGUUUUUAUCUUUCAUCUCGCCACUUUUAUCACGUCAGGAGAUUUUGGAACUUUUGCAAGUUGUCUUAAGAAUUUUUCAUUUAUAUUAGCCUCUAAUCUAUUCAUUUCAGGGAAUGUGUUGUUUCUGCCUACCCUGGCUCAGGGACAUAAUUAAGAAUAUUAACUUCCACCCUAAACAUCCACAUCCUGUUCAUUUCCAGUCCCAGUGAUCUCUAGCCAACCCUAACAAAACAUCCUGGGCCGUGUUUUCAUAAACAAAGCCAGGUGGAAAGUUAUACUCCAUACCGUGGAGCGAGGGCUGUCCCAAGCCGAAUCAUUCCGGCAAGAAGAAUCCGCUAUUGUGUGGUGGUAGAUUUACUGGACAGUUACCUAACCACAACCCUUAAGCUUUAUUUUGGCCCUUGCGUUCACCACAGGGAGAGUGGCGAAGCGGUGAGUUUCCCAGAUACAUUUUGUGACUCAUCUAUUACAUUGUUUAGUUUUAUCCUUGGGUCACCAUUGCUGUUAAAAGCUCUAAAAGCACUUACUUUCAAAUGUCAGGACCGCUGGAGAACAGAGAGUUAAACGGACAUUGUUUGGAAAGACGCGAUGGGGAGAAAGCAGCUCUUCGGUAACUGUAGAAGGAUGACAGUCUCUAAAACCUUGGCCUUCAGGUUAUUUAAGUAGAAGAGUUCAUAGUCAAAAACAGGACUUCCUUAUGAAAAUUAGCCUGUGCAUUCACAAGAUGGAACAAAUUCAAAAAGCUGUUAUCGUCAUCGUCCCGGUCUCCUAAAUACCAGAAAAAAAAAUGAGUGGGAAGUGGGAAGGAGGUAGUAAUUAAUGACAAAAAGAAAAGAUUUGUUGGAAACCCAAGGUCUCUAGAUUUUCCCGGUAGCACUGUAUUUUAACAAAUUAAGAAUAAACAUCCAAUUACAAAUGAA